GCGUCUUUGGUGUAACGGUAACACGCAAUCUUGUCUUGACCCAUUGCUAUCGCAAAUUUGAGAUUGAGUCCGGGGUUCGAACCCCCGAGGACGCA